GGUCCCGUAGCUCAACGGAAAGAGCACCCGGCAUCGUGGAGGGGCGUGCGGGUUCGAAUCCCGCCGGGACAG
rnacentral:tRNA from 2 species